CACGUAGGGUGCGAGCGUUGUCCGGAAUUAUUGGGCGUAAAGAGCUCGUAGGCGGUGUGUCGCGUCGGCCGUGAAACCUGCAGCUUAACUGUGGGCUUGCGGUCGAUACGGGCAUCACUGGAGUUCGGCAGGGGAGACUGGAAUUCCUGGUGUAGCGGUGAAAUGCGCAGAUAUCAGGAGGAACACCGGUGGCGAAGGCGGGUCUCUGGGCCGAUGACUGACGCUGAGA
rnacentral:rRNA from 1 species